rfam:Brassica napus, WGS project CCCW01000000 data, contig: 11680
GGCCAGUGAUGCAAUCAAAAUAUUUGCUACUCUUGAUGAAGAAAUUCAUUUGAUGAUUCUUUAACCACCAAGAUCUCUGAGGCC